GUGCACCAGUCGAGAAUCCUUUACAAUGUCUUCACGGACGAUAGGGGAAUCCUGAGUGCUCUAGCAUUGCUAGAGCUUUUGCUUACUGAAAAAGGUAGGCGAAUAAGUGGUGGGUAAGACGGGUGCCAGCCGCCGCGGUAAUACCCGCGCCACAAGUGGUGACCACGUUUAUUGGGUCUAAAGCGUUCGUAGCCGGCCUGAUAAAUUCUCGGUGAAAUCCUGUGUAAAUCAUAGGGCGUGCCGGGAAGACUGUCAAGCUAGGAACCGGGAGAGGCCGACGGUAUUCCCGGGGUAGGGGUGAAAUCCUAUAAUCCCGGGAGGACCACCAGUGGCGAAGGCUGUCGGCUAGAACGCGCCCGACGGUGAGGGAUGAAAGCUGGGGGAGCGAACCGGAUUAGAUA
rnacentral:rRNA from 1 species